rnacentral:rRNA from 1 species
CACGUAGGCGGAUUGUUAAGUUAGGGGUGAAAUCCCAGGGCUCAACCCUGGAACUGCCUUUAAUACUGGCAAUCUAGAGUCCGAGAGAGGUGAGUGGAAUUCCGAGUGUAGAGGUGAAAUUCGUAGAUAUUCGGAGGAACACCAGUGGCGAAGGCGGCUCACUGGCUCGGUACUGACGCUGAGGUGCGAAAGCGUGGGGAGCAAACA